GUCCAGGGUAGCCUAGUGGACAUGGCAUCUGCCCGGUAAGCGGAACACUGUGGGUUCGAGUCCCAUCACUGGACA
rnacentral:tRNA from 1 species